CUCAGAGAAGGCUUUUUGCCUCCACUAGUUCUAAUAGGGUCAAUACCUGCUUGGCACGUUUCUUCAGAUGAACAUUUUGAAAAUAAAAUGAGUUACAGCCAGCAGAAAUGGAAUCAAUACAUGCCAGGAUUAACCUCAGUGAUUAAUCCCAGAAUCAAUGAACCAAAUGAUUAUCAUUUCUGUCAGCUGAAGAUUCUGGGAUGCAAAAUUGUGAUUAAAGAGGCACUACCCAGACAAGGAGUCCAUGUCAUGAAAUGAGCUAUACCUCUGGAGUCAGAUCUGCUUUGGUGUGAGGCCCUACUGAUUUCUCAGCUUUUUAACCUUGGAGAAAUGACUUAGCCUGCCCUUUGUUUCAAUUCCUUAACUGUAAUAUGGGGAUGGUGAUAAUAAAGAGGUUGUUG